UACGUAGGGUGCAAGCGUUGUCCGGGAUUAUUGGGCGUAAAGAGCUCGUAGGCGGUCUGUCGCGUCUGCUGUGAAAACUCGGGGCUUAACCCCGGGCCUGCAGUGGGUACGGGCAGACUAGAGUGCGGUAGGGGAGACUGGAAUUCCUGGUGUAGCGGUGAAAUGCGCAGAUAUCAGGAGGAACACCGGUGGCGAAGGCGGGUCUCUGGGCCGUAACUGACGCUGAGGAGCGAAAGCAUGGGGAGCGAACAGG
rnacentral:rRNA from 1 species